GUCACAGCACUUUACAAGGGAGCUGGGGCGGUGUGGACUGAAUCCGAUAUGGCAUGCAGCAGUGGCGGCUUAACACUGCUGUGCGCGACAUUGGCCCUGAUGCAGGCGUCUUAAGUGCAGGCCUCACCUCUGGGCUUAAAUAGGCACAUCCUGUCCCUAAAAUAGUUGACUUAAAAAAACCAACCGAACCGAACCGAACGCAACUUCUCGGACUUGUCCCCCUCUCUACUCUUGAUCUAGAACUCCUCCUAGUGCUGCUCAAUAGCCAAACAUCACAGCUGGAAUUCACGCUCUGUUUACCUUCACUGGGAGAUGCAGCCUAAAGUGCAAUGAAAUCCCCUUCUCAACAUGGAUUUCUAGAGUUCUUUGUGGACUAAGAUUGUGCUCCAGUCACGGCCGGAAACAAGAUUGUGAAGCUCUAUUUUUCCCGUAUGUGUAGAAGCAAGACCUUUUAUUCCCAUGGGUCGCGAAGUAGCGAGAAAAAACGAAGAGUUCCUUAAGCACUGAUUAUUCUGUUUUUAGUCAACUCAUUAUUUCCCCCGAGGGGGUGCACCGCGCCCGGAGGUACUGCAAUACCGGGUCGAUGCGCGGAGUGGACGGAGCAAGCUCCUAUUCCAACUCCCGGCUCCAAAAAUCCAUUUAAUAUAUUGUCCUCGGAUAGAGGACGUAUCAGAUAUUAAACUGAUAAGAACAGAUACUACACUUGAUCUUAGCCAAAAGGCCGAGAAGCGAUGCCGGGCCCCUGCGCGCGCGCCGCCGCCCGCCCCCGCCGCGCACCUUUCACGCGCGGUGACUCCCGCCCCGCCCCGCCCCGCCCCCGCCGCUCCUCGGGCCCGCGCGCGCCCCGCAGGCCACGCCGCCCUAUCGCCCUCAUCGUCCACGCGGGCGAUUCCUCGCCCGCGCUCGGGACCGGCCCCUCUCCCCCCUCCUCCUUUCUCCUCCCCCGCCCCACCGCCGCGGCCGCACUCAUCUGCAUGUCACGCCCCCGCCGUCCUCAUCUGCAUGCACCCGCCCCGCCCCGCCCCAGGGACCGCGCGCCGCUCCGCGGAAACAUGGCCACGUGGCUCGGCCUUGUGGGCUGCGAGGCCUCCGCACGGAGUUCCCGGGUUCUCCCGCGAGGGCCCGAGAGAGCCGGCGGUUCCGCCGCGUGCUCGUGACUCCCGGCUGGGGCGGGACCCGCACCGCGGGGGACCGGCCGCCGCACCGACUGCCGCUGUGGGAGGGGCCUUGCCUUUCACUGGAGCUCGUUUGCAGCUGACACACUUCAACUAGCGUGGAGAGCGUCCCGAGGACGAGGACCGACGAAAAGGGCGGCCCCUGCGCUGGGCAGGCCGUGCGGGGCUCUGCUCGCCCGGGAGCUCGCUGCCUGGCACCGAGGUGGCGUUACCCCGCGCAGACAGCCGAGGGCUCCGCGCGCGUGUGGGAAACAGGCUUCCUCAGGACAGCUGUGUGUCCAGGCCUGUCGCUGCCUCGCGACAUUCCAUGUCCAGGAGAAGCUAAAACCACCGACAAGAGAGAGCCCCCGCUGAGCCACUAACUUCACUGUGCUAAUUCUUUUUGGACCAUAGCUAGUAACACAGUUUUUAAUGCACGGGCCUAGAAGCAGGGCUAGGAAUGUUAGAAUUACAGGGCCAGCCGGUGCCACUAGUAGAGUAGUAAGCCAUGGCAAGCUGGCAAACCAACCCUGGAACCAUCCGUAGGAUCGUUUCUGUUUUUGUUUUUGUUUUUGACAGGUAGAGUUUUAGACACACAGAGAGAAAGGUCUUCCUUCUGUUGGUUCACUCCCCAAAUGUCCACCAUGGCCGGUGCUGUGCCGAUCCAAAGCCAGAGCCAGGUGCUUCCUCCUGGUCUCCCAUGCGGGUGCAGGGGCCCAGGCACUUGGGCCAUCCUCCACUGCCCUCCCGGGCCACAGCAGAGAGCUGGGCUGGAAGAGGAGCAACGGGGACUAGGGGAGUAGGGGACUAGAACCUGGCACCGUCAUGGGGUGCCGGCGCCGCAGGCGGAGGAUUAACCAAGUGAGCCGCGGCGCCGGCCCGCAUCCACAGGGUUCUUGUCUAGUUGUGUGACCAGAGAAGCAAAGGGUCCUUGUCUUCGUGCAAGAAAGAAUUCAGGCGUGAGGCAGCAGGGGAAAGCAACAUAGCAAGGUUUAUUAGGGUAGGGACACGCGUAAGAACGGAUGGGCACCCCUCCAGGCAGGAUCCGAGAGAGAGUGCGUAGUUCAUGUGCAGGCUGGGGUUCCUAAGGGGAUGGGUCUUGCCUUCCCGCCUUUCCCCUCCCCCUCUCCUUCUCCUUCUCCUUCUCCUUCUCCUUCUCCUUCUCCUUCUCCCGAACAAAGGACUUGUUGGGUUAAAUACGAAGAAUUCCUGUCUGACUUUUUCUCCCUGAACUUACCAGGGAGAUGCCUGGCUGGCAUCGGCAUCGCCCCGCCUUAGAGGAAGCCUGUUUACCAGGCCAGGCAGAAGGGGCAGGACUCCCUGGAAGGUCAUCAGGAUCCGGGCAGGACUUCGAAGUGCAGGAUGCUGGGCUUCUGGAGCUUCCACAGUGGGUGCUGGUCUUCAGGCCUUUCUCAGGCACACAUGGGCUCAAUUUCUGACUUCCUACCUAACAUAACUGUGGACACCAAUCCAAGGACAAGACGCCCACUGGAGUGGAGGUCAGAAGACCUGAUUUCCCUAUCUGGCUUGCUCAUGAUAACACAAAAGAGUCCUCAGAGGGUCUGAUACCUAAUUUGUUAUCAGUAAUCAAGGAGCUGUUCUUGGGCUAAAACUGGAACAGGAGCGGGAGGACAAGGGCUGGAAGGUGAAAGCCUGGAGAUGGCCAGUCCCAAACUUGCAGAGGAUUAUUGAUAAGCCAAGGGGAGUAGAGCCGUUGAUGCAAGAGCAGAGGCCACGAUUCAAAGGAAUGAGGCCCGGAGUGGGCUAGACAGGGUCUAGAACAAAGGACAGAGUCAUUAUGAGAGGACCUAAGAAAGGUGCUGUCUAAGCCAAACAGAAACUGACAGAAGGGGCCUGAUAAUAAUCCGGUGGGCUUGAAGGCUCUGUCCGUUAUGAGGAACAAGCUUAUCGAUCUCUUCACACGGGGUACAUCCUAAGGGAGGUGUGAACCUCUUGGGGAAGGCACCCUGUUGUUGGGAGCCACUGUGCUGGUGUCCCUGUAUAGGCCUUUGUUUAGACUAACCUUCAACUGUGUUCCUGUAAGGAGGAUUCACUAGAAAGUUCCAUUUGUACAGCUCACUGCUAUGGUUAGCGCUUGGCCAUCUGGCUUCAGUGCUCUCUUUCCUGUACCUUGAUAAGCACAUCUGGUAGCUGUAAGACCUCGCUGUAACCCCCUUUGUCAAACUGAUACUGAUUCCUGUGAAAUUAUUCCUUUAAACUAUGUUGUAAGAUGACCCCUGCUUACCCUCGACUGUUACGGUCCUUGCCUUGUACUAUAUAAGCUACCUCCUUCUCCAAUAAAGUGAGAGCUUGAUCAGAGUACUGUCUUGGUCUCCCUUCUCGUGUCUGGUUGGUCUCUCCCUUCAGGUCUGCCCUCCUCGUGUCCUAGUAGAUUACCCCGCGGGCCGGGGCAAGUGGCGCCCAACGUGGGGCAUGAGGAACGGGAAUUGAGCUGAACGUCGCUGGAAAAGCUGGCUGUUUCAUUUAGGUCGCCGCCUCUUCUCAUAAGAGCCACCACAGAUGUUUGAUCUGUGAUACAGGCCCGGAGAAGGCGAGUGAAGACCCGCAUGGUGGCCACCGCGUCCUGACCCGUCCGUGAUACAGGCUACGAGGCAGCAAGCUGGCCCACGAAUUGGAGAAAGGAAAUGACCAUGACUCAGUCGCGAGGUAUUGGUCGGAGUCAGAGAUCAGCACAAAGUUCCAAGUUGCUGCAAUGGGAGGAUGAAGCAGGUAAUGCUGGAGCCUGUCGCCCCUAUAUUUUGGCUGCAUUACUUGUUAAUCUAUGGAGACGUGAUAUUCUAAUUCAAAUGGGGGCUUUAAUGCGUAGUCCAAAUAAGACUGUUACCACUAACAUACUUCAACAAGGUCAUCUGCCAGGUAAGGGUUUAGGCAAACAACAACAAAGCAUCACAUCUCCAGUUACUUACUUUAACUGUCAAUCAUGACCAGAGAGGCUUGGGUUUCCCUUGAUGGCUACUGGUCAGCCUGUGCCCCGUGCAAAAAAUAAAAUAAAAUAAAAAUGAGAUAAUCCCGUGUGGGUGGAUCAGUGGCCUUUACUGCAGGAAAAGAUAAAUGCUGCACAGAUAUUGGUGGAAGAACAAUUAACAGCGGGACAACUAGUUCCUUCUAAUUCUCCUUGGAAUAGUCCUAUUUUUGUUAUCAGAAAGAAAUCUGGGAGAUAGCGAUUGCUUCAAGGCCUUAGGGCUGUUAGUGCUACUGUGGAAAUGAUGGGGGCUUUACAACCAGGUUUACCAUUGCCUACUGCAAUUCCAAAGGACUCUUAUAUUGCAAUAAUAGAUUUAAAAGAUUAUUUUUAUACUAUACCUUUACACCCAGAAGAUUGUCCCCGAUUUGCUUUCCGUGUUCCACCAGUAAAUUUUAAAGAACCUAUGCAAAGAUGCCAAUGGAGGAUCUUACCUCAAAAAAUGGCUAAUAGCCCUACUUUGUGCCAACAAUUCAUUGAUGCUGCUCUGCAACAAAUUUGCAAAAAAUAUAGCAAUUUAUAUAUUGUACACCAUGUGGGUGAUAUUUUAAUAGCUGGACCCGAGGAAUUCUUGGUGAUGCAAUGUCUGACAGGAAUGAAAGAGCAACUAUCUGCUUUUGGUCUUAUCAUAGCCAGCCCCUGAGAAAAUGCAACUUCAAUAUCCUUAUCAAUAUCUAGGCUUCCAAUCGUACCCAUGAACAAUACUUCCACCUCACAAUUGGAUUCUUUACAGACUUUCAAUGAUUUUCAAAAACUUCUAGGGGGUAUUAAUUGGCCUUGUCCACAUCUGCACCUCACAACAGGAGACCUUAAACCUUUAUUCGAUAUCCUGAAGGGAGACAGUUCCCCUACCUCCCAAGGAGUGCUUACUCCCGCAGCAUGCCUAGCCUUGCAAAAGGUACAACAAGCCUUAUCUCAGAGCUGUGUUUCUUGCAUUGAUUGUAAUCAACCUUUAAUUCUUAUUGUUUUGAUUACAGAUUAUUUACCCACCACUCUGUUGUGGCAAGAGGCCCCUUUACUUUGGAUAUAUUUACAGGCUACCCUUCAAAAGAAUGUUGUACCAUAUUAUAAUGCAAUAGCUGAGAUUAUCGCUAAAGGGAGACUAAAAUGUACAAAAGAUAUUUGAAAUAGAGCUGACAUGUAUAUGUCAACCAACCAUAUACUAACAAACAGCUAAUAUGGCUCCUGUCUUUCACUGAAGGCUGGCCUCUUGCAUUAGCUUCUUUUUCAGGACAAGGUCGUAAUAACUAUCCAGCAGAUAAAGUGAUACAAUUUUUAUGACAUCAUUCCUGUGUAUUUCCACGAAAUGCAAGCUUUCAACCCUUAGAGAAUGCUGGCUUGAUAUUUAUAGAGGGUGCCAACACUGGUCAAGCUUCUGUAAUUUGUGAUGGUCACCGUACAGUUAUUAACACCUCUUUUUCAUCUCUACAGCUAGUUGAAUUAGCUGCUGUUGCACUUGCAUUGCAGUCUACUUUGGAUGUAGCGGUUAACAUAUACACCGAUAGCAAAUAUGUGUUCCUAUCGGUGCCUCGAUUGGAAACUUGUUCAUUCCUUCCUGGAUCCUCAGCUGCCUCUCCUUUGUGUUCUCGCAUUUGCACUGUCAUUCGGCAGUAUACCUGCCCUUUCUUUAUAGGUCCUAUUCGAGCACAUUCCAAUCUUCCUGGACCUUUGGUAGAUGGCAAUCGUGUGGCACAUUCUGCUCUAUGCAUAUAUUCUAUUGAUACAGCAACAGGAGAUCACGUUUUACAUCAUUUAAAUGCUCAUACGUUACGCUUAAAACAUAAUAUGACUCAAGAACAAGCUCGACAAAUUGUAACAUUCUGUUCUACUUGCUCCAUCCAGUUACCAGUACCUCACCUUCGAAUUAAUCCUCGCGGUUUAUUCCCCAAUCAACUAUCGCAAAUGGAUAUCACCCACUUCAUGGAAUUUGGUAAACAAAAAUAUAUACGUGUGUCUAUUGAUGCUUGUUCUGGAUUUAUGUUUGCUUCCUUACAUACAGGUGAAGCCACAAGAUGUGUUAUUACAAGCUUUUGCUUCCCUAGGAACUCCAAAGCAGAUUAAAACGGAUAAUGAACCUGCUUAUAUCUCUGCCUCUUUUAAAAAUCUUUGUGUAACUUUUUUAUAUCUCAUGUUACUGACAUUCCUUAUAAUCCUCAGGGUCGAGGCAUUGUUAAACGUACACAUAAUACUUUAAAGCAAUGCUUUAAUAAAAUUAAAAAAGGGGAGUUUGGGGUUCUUGCCCAUUCUCCUAACAAAUGGCUCUCACAUGCUUUAUUCAUUUUAAAUUUUUUCACAUUGGAUAAAGAUGGUCGUUUUGCAGCUGAUCAACACUGGCAUCCACACAGCUGCGAAAAGAGCAAUGGUGAAAUGGAGGGAUCCUAUCACCAAUCAAUCGAAUGGACCUGAUCCGGUACUGGUAUGGGACGCGGGCUCCUAAGGGAUGGGUAUUUUUAUGCAACCAAUUUGCUUUUACAUUGUUAGCCCCUGAUGAUUUUCACAACUGCCCAUUGGGCCGUGUGGCCCCAAUGCUUUAACAUCUGUAUUUCCAAAGACAGGACAGCGACGCUCAUUCCCUGAGAACUGUGAUGAUGAUGUCAUCGUAAUUGGAGACCUGCUUUCACCAUGGCUAUACAGCUAGUGGGAGUUCCUGGAUUGGCUUAUGGAAAUAAUCGUGGACUACGAAGGCUUACAUGUUUGGUGACCAAAACAAUCAAUCUUACUGCUACUGCGCUAUCCAGUAUAGCUGAAGAAUUGGAUCAAGUUCAUCCAGGAGUACACUGAAACCGAGCAGCUAUCGAUUAUUUGCUGUUAAACAAUCAUAUAAGCUGUAAAUCUGUACCAGGGGAAUGUUAUUUUAACAUUACGAACAAUGUGCCAUAUAUAGAGUCUGUUAUUGAUAAACUUAAGAGUAAAAUGCAACAUAUGUUUAUUACUAACCCACUAUUCAUUUGGAGGGUUUCAAUGGAUUCAUUGGUUAUCAAUGUUGGCUGGACCGCUACUGCUUUUCCUACUUUGUAUGGGAUGUUUUCCGUGUGUUCUGCAAUUUGUGCUAACCUCGCUGCAGUCUGUAUGGACUGACGUUCAUCCUUUAAAACUUUGUACCAAACCUCCUUUUGUAAUCAAAAAUAGUUGAUAUUUGGCUAUAUGUUUCAUCUCUCGCCUAAUGUCAGGCUGGUCCGAUGGUAGUGGGUUAUCAGAACUUAUCAGCAUUAGUGUCACUAAAGUUGGUAUACAACCCCCCACUGCUAAAUUUAACUGGCUUUAAAAAAAAUAUCGAUCAUUCUUCAACUGCCCUAUCCUUAUCAAACGAACAACAACAAGUAUUGCGGCAGGGUAUUCUAGAUAAUAGUGCAGCCGUUGAUUAUCUUCUCUUAUUACAUCACAAAAAUGCAAUCAAGUUAAGAAUAUGUUGUUUUAAUCUUACUGAUAACUCUCAUAGUAUUGCUAUUGAAAUCCAAAAAUGCACAGAACUUGCUUCUUACUUGACUCAAGACAAAGGGUCCAAAAGCUUAUUCAAUUGGCUUACAUCCUGGCUGCCAAAUUUCUCCUGGCUUAAAGAACUGUUUGUGGGGAUUGUAAUCUUCCUCAUAAGCCUCCUUACAGCCCGUCUUGUUGGCAGGUGUUUCGUGUAUUUUCUAACUAGGCCUUGGAAGUCCCUCAGAAGAUAAGACGGUGGGUAGUCAAUGACGGGUAAGAUGGGUUGCCGCACAUAGCAACCUAAGACAGGGAUUCAUCGAUGACGAUGGAUUCUGAUGACGGGUAAGAAUGUGCGGGUGGAACCCACAACCUAAGACAGGCACCAUCGUUUGCUUCAUUAUAAAAUAAAAUAAAAUUAAAAAAAAAAAAACAAACAGCACCGUUCAGAGUGCAGAGUUACAUUUAAUGGGCCUCCACCUAUCUUUACGUUGCUUCUGAUGCCUAGCUUUCUCUUCCUCCUGGUUUUGGUUAAAGCAGACCUUUGUGGCCCACACUAGAAGUCUACAGUCACAGGCGUAGUAGUGGUUCUGGUAGUGGUUCUUCUGUGAGGUAGACAAUGCCCCUGAGGAAAGCUGUGUCCUCACUUGAAAGCUUUCUCUCCCUUUGCGUGGUCUGAAAGGGAGGUUUUGCCUGUUUACCGUGCCCAAGGCGAAGUCAACCUAGCUGUGAAAUUAUAAUUUAAGCUCUCCUUUUGCCUAUGCUAUUAUCACAGAAAAUGGUAGCCAUCCCUUUUCUAAGAUCCAAAAGCCAAGUGGUGCCUCUUGGAGCGUCCUUCCAAAUACUCAGUAUCCCAUCUUGAAGAGACUAGAGAGAGGAGGGAGGGAGUCCCAGACUGCUUGCUGACAAUAGCAAUAGCAAAUGAAGACUUAGCAAGCGAUGUCACCCUUUAGAUAACCAGUUAGGAGAACAUUUAACAGGAGGUCCGAUGCCUCCUGUAAAUUUUAAGAAUACGUGUGUUUGGAAACAUCUCUUAAAUAUCUGACAUGAUGUGGCUUGUUGAAUCAGCAAACUCAAGCACAAACAUAUAAAAACAUUUUCAUUUCUUUCUACCAACAGAUUUAAAGCUUCUGAUACAGAGAUUCAGGUCACAGGAAUCAAAAUGUAUCUUUGAUUAAUUUUAGCAGUUUAAAUUUAUGAGCAAUCUGUUCUCUAUAAGCCAAUGAAAAUAAAGCUCUUAAGAAAUAUUCCCGUGUAGACAUACCAUAUGUGUAUACAUAUAACAUAACAUACAAGAUAGCACAAUAAAGCAGUUUCAGUAAUAGCUUU